GAUGAAGAACGUAGCGAAAUGCGAUACGUAAUGUGAAUUGCAGAAUUCAGUGAAUCAUCGAAUCUUUGAACGCAUAUUGCGCUCUCUGGUAUUCCGGAGAGCAUGCUUGUUUGAGUAUCAGUAAACACCUCAACUUCCAUAUCUUUUUUGAAAUGGGAGUUGGACUUGAGUGAUCCCAACGCUUUGCCUCACCGAAAAGUGGCGGGUUACUUGAAAUGCAGGUGCAGCUGGACUUUUCUCUGAGCUAUAAGCAUAUCUAUUUAGUCUGCCUAAAAAACAGAUUAUUACCUUUGCUGCAGCUAACAUAAAGGAGAUUAGUUCUUGUGCUGACUGAUGCAGGAUUCACAAAGACAGGCUUCGGCCGACUUUGUAAACUCGAUCUCAAAUCAAGUAAGACUACCCGCUGAACUUAAGCAUAUCAAUAAGCGGAGGA
rnacentral:misc_RNA from 1 species